rnacentral:rRNA from 1 species
GGCGGACGGGUGAGUAACACGUGGGAACGUGCCUUAGGAUUCGGAAUAACUCAGGGAAACUUGUGCUAAUACCGAAUGUGCCCUUCGGGGGAAAGAUUUAUCGCCUUUAGAGCGGCCCGCGUCUGAUUAGCUAGUUGGUGAGGUAAAGGCUCACCAAGGCGACGAUCAGUAGCUGGUCUGAGAGGAUGAUCAGCCACAUUGGGACUGAGACACGGCCCAAACUCCUACGGGAGGCAGCAGUGGGGAAUCUUGCGCAAUGGGCGAAAGCCUGACGCAGCCAUGCCGCGUGAAUGAUGAAGGUCUUAGGAUUGUAAAAUUCUUUCACCGGGGACGAUAAUGACGGUACCCGGAGAAGAAGCCCCGGCUAACUUCGUGCCAGCAGCCGCGGUAAUACGAAGGGGGCUAGCGUUGCUCGGAAUUACUGGGCGUAAAGGGAGCGUAGGCGGACAUUUAAGUCAGGGGUGAAAUCCCGGGGCUCAACCUCGGAAUUGCCUUUGAUACUGGGUGUCUUGAGUAUGAGAGAGGUGUGUGGAACUCCGAGUGUAGAGGUGAAAUUCGUAGAUAUUCGGAAGAACACCAGUGGCGAAGGCGACACACUGGCUCAUUACUGACGCUGAGGCUCGAAA